rnacentral:lncRNA from 1 species
AUAUAUAUAGGCUGAGGCUAUAUACUCAUGAGUGUAGAGCCUUUUGUAUUAUAACUUUUCGACUGUUCGGAUGAAAACAUGUGCGGUUAGGAUGAAAGUGGUUACGACUAGAUUGAUAGUGGGCCUCCUAGUAUUGAGUGGGUAGUUGGUUGAAUAGUACAAUCUAACAGGUGAAAAUGAUUAAAUGGUAGAUCAAACGGCAAAAACUUAUGAGUAUAAGAGGCUCUAUACUCAUAAGAGUAUAGUAGCAGGACUCAUAUAUAUAUAUAUAUAUAGAGUCCGGCUACUAUACUAUGGGUAGCAUGGAGCGCUCCGUGCUACCAAGUUGUUUUCGAUGAUGCGGCUUCCAAAUCGACGAUCGGCUCCAUUAGACUUGAUCUAUACUAUUGAAAGUAUUUGGAAACUAAAUUUCAAAUUUUUUCGACAUCAUUUGACUAGUGAUCAAAAGAUCUCAAAAUUGAUAAUUUUAAUGGCCGAUGUGGUGUGUUUGUGAGUUUAACGGUGUAAAACAAUUCAAAUGCGAUGAAAAUUUUAUAGAAAAUUCUUUUCACUAUUUAGAGUAAGAUCAGUAUAUCUGAUCUUGAAUUUA